rnacentral:tRNA from 1 species
GAGGGUAUAGCUCAGUGGUAGAGUGUGUGCCUAGCAUGCAUGAGGUCCUGGCUUUAAUCCCCUGUACCUCCA